UACGUAGGGGGCAAGCGUUGUCCGGAUUUAUUGGGCGUAAAGAGCGUGUAGGCGGUUUGGUAGGUCCGUUGUGAAAACUCGAGGCUCAACCUCGAGACGCCGGUGGAAACCGUCUGGCUAGAGUCCGGAAGAGGAGAGUGGAAUUCCUGGUGUAGCGGUGAAAUGCGCAGAUAUCAGGAAGAACACCCGUGGCUAAGGCGGCUCUCUAGUACGGUACUGACGCUGAGACGCGAAAGCGUGGGGAGCGAACAGG
rnacentral:rRNA from 1 species